GGACAAUCUUUAUGAGCUAAUAAUUCUUACAGGUGGUGUUCUGUUUUCAUAGAGGGCAGUGCUCAAGGGCUGCUUCUCUUGUGCAUCUCUGCAGGGAGAAGCUGCUGCUGGGGCAGCUCCUGUUUCUGCUGCAAGGAUGAAACUCAAAGCAGCUGAAUAAACUACCAGGUAACCACUCCAGUGAAAAGAUAUUUCCAG
rnacentral:lncRNA from 1 species